rnacentral:snRNA from 14 species
AACUCCGCGAAGGACAUACUGAAACGCGUUAAAGAUAUGAAGAGAGACGGCGUCAAGACCUGGGGUAAGAAGAAGAAAGAGAAGAAACGAGGCGUGAUGAUGGGAGGUGGCGCAAGUCAACAAAAAAAUGUCGAUAGA